GACGAACGCUGGCGGCGUGCUUAACACAUGCAAGUCGAACGGAAAGGCCCUGCUUUUGUGGGGUGCUCGAGUGGCGAACGGGUGAGUAACACGUGAGUAACCUGCCCUUGACUUUGGGAUAACUUCAGGAAACUGGGGCUACUACCGGAUAGGAGCUCCUGCAGCAGGGUGGGGGUUGGAAAGUUUCGGCGGUUGGGGAUGGACUCGCGGCUUAUCAGCUUGUUGGUGGGGUAGUGGCUUACCAAGGCUUUGACGGGUAGCCGGCCUGAGAGGGUGAACGGCCACAUUGGGACUAAGAUACGGCCCAGACGCCUACGGGAGGCAGUAGUGGGAAAUAUUGUACAAUGGGCGGAAGUCUGAGGCAGCAACGCCCCGUGCGUGAUGACGGCCUGCGGGGAGUAAACCGCUUUCGCCUGUGACGAAGCGUGAGUGACGGUAAUGGGUAAAGAAGCACCGGCUAACUACGUG
rnacentral:rRNA from 1 species